GAUGAACGCUAGCGGCAGGCCUAACACAUGCAAGUCGAGGGGCAUCAUGGCGUAGCAAUACGCUGAUGGCGACCGGCGCACGGGUGCGUAACGCGUAUGGAACCUACCCACCGCAGGGGGAUAACCCGCCGAAAGGCGGACUAAUACCCCAUGGUUCCCCGACCCUGCCUGGGGUUGGGGGUAAACCUACGGGCGGCGGUGGAUGGCCCUGCGUGCCAUUAGCUGGCUGGUGGGGUAACGGCCCACCAGGGCGACGAUGGCUAGGGGGUCUGAGAGGACGAUCCCCCACACUGGUACUGAGACACGGACCAGACUCCUACGGGAGGCAGCAGUGAGGAAUAUUGGUCAAUGGGCGGAAGCCUGAACCAGCCAUGCCGCGUGCAGGAUGACGGCCCUACGGGUUGAAACUGCUUUUUCCAGGGAGAGAAACUUACGCACGUGUUGCGUGAUGACGGUACCCUGGGAAUAAGCAUCGGCUAACUCCGUGCCAGCAGCCGCGGAAAACGUGU
rnacentral:rRNA from 1 species